GGAAUUUUCCGCAAUGGGCGAAACCUGACGGAGCAAUACCGCGUGAGGGAGGAAGGCUCUUGGGUUGUAAACCUCUUUUCUAAGGAAGAAAAAAAUGACGGUACUUGAGGAAUCAGCAUCGGCUAACUCCGUGCCAGCACCGCGGUAAUACGGAGGAUGCAAGCGUUAUCCGGAAUGAUUGGGCGUAAAGCGUCCGCGGUGGCUAUGUAAGUCUGCUGUUAAAGAGCAAGGCUCAACCUUGUAAAAGCAGUGGAACUACAUGGCUAGAGU
rnacentral:rRNA from 1 species